UUAAAAGUCUGACCUGCCCAAUGAGUAGUUAAAUGGCCGCAGUAUCUUGACUGUGCAAAGGUAGCAUAAUCAAUAGUUUCUUAAUUAGAAGCUGGAAUGAAAGGUUUGAUGAAAAAAAAACUGUCUCAGUUUUAAUUAUUUAGAAUUUUAUUUUUAAGUCAAAAAGCUUAAAUUUUUUAAAAAGACGAGAAGACCCUAUAGAGUUUUAGAAAGAUGGGGUUUAAUAAGUUUUUGAUAAAAUUUUUAUUAAAUUAUAUUUUUAUUUUAUUGGGGUGAUAUAAAAAUUUAAAAAACUUUUUAUUUAAAACUACAUUAAUUUAUGAAUAUAUGAUCCUAUUUUAGAUUAUAAGAAAAAAUUACCUUAGGGAUAACAGCGUUAUUUUUUUUUAGAGUUCAAAUUAAAAAAAAAGUUUGCGACCUCGAUGUUGGAUUAAAAUUAAAUUUUGGUGUAGAAGCUAAAAAUUUGGGUCUGUUCGACCUUUAAAAUUUUACA
rnacentral:rRNA from 1 species